rnacentral:rRNA from 1 species
CCUACGGGAGGCAGCAGUGGGGAAUAUUGUGCAAUGGGGGAAACCCUGACACAGCGACGCCGCGUGAGUGAAGAAGGCCUUCGGGUCGUAAAGCUCAAUAGUAUGGGAAGAAAGAAAUGACGGUACCAUACGAAAGCCCCGGCUAACUACGUGCCAGCAGCCGCGGUAAU